rnacentral:tRNA from 1 species
GGAGAGCUGGCCGAGCGGCCGAAGGCGCACGCCUGGAAAGUGUGUAUACGGUAACGUAUCAAGGGUUCGAAUCCCUUGCUCUCCGCCA